rnacentral:sRNA from 1 species
AAAUAGGUGCGUUAGGGGUUGAAGCGGCAUCCUUUUGCUUUUCUUUGAUAAGACAUGACUUAUAAAAAAGUUUUUAAGCUUUUAAGAGUGUAUUGAGCCCUUGUAAUUUAAAAAAACCAAAAGAUAUAGCGGAAAACCCGACCCUUG